AAAAAAUCCCCAUUUGUUUUGGUUUAUUCUUCAAGGAAAAAAGGAAGACCAUCUUCCUAUCUCUCUAUAUCUCUCUCUCUCUCCUCCAUAGCACUGAAUUUUUCUUGAAAAAUUAGGGAUUUACUACUAAAUCAACAAGCAAUUUUCGUUUUUGGGUGAAGAUCAAGUUGUUCCUCUUGGUAUAUAAAUCCUUGAGAAAUCAAAGGGGAAGUAUUUGAGGAAGUGGACAGAUUUGGGUUGUUUACGGCGUAGACGAUUCGAACAUCCCCAAGUUGUGAUUGAAUUGUGUUGUGGUAAAACACCGAGGUAUUGUUUGGGAUGAAAUCUGAAGAUGGCCAUGAUGAAGUAGUCUUUUUGGAGAACUUGGAGAUCACAUUUGCAUAUGCACCUUGGUUUUGCAUAGUUUCGGGACGUGUACCUGAUAUACAUGAUAUACUGAUAUAUACAUUAAUAUAUAUAUGUCACAUUAUGUACGUUAUUUGGAGGCUUGUUGGAUUUUAAGACCAAAAAUCUUGUAACUUAAAUUUGGAAACUUAUUUUGCUGUUUUUAGUGUGUGUGUCAAUAACUCAAGUCUUGUCAUAUGCUGAAUUUACACUUUGUCUUGUAAAUAUGUACAAAAGAGAAAACUAGUUUCCUUUUUAUA